rnacentral:rRNA from 1 species
GACGAGCCACACGAACGUUAUUCGGAAUUACUGGGCUUAAAGGGUGCGUAGGCUGCGCGGAAAGUUGGGUGUGAAAUCCCUCGGCUCAACCGAGGAACUGCGCCCAAAACUGCCGUGCUCGAGGAAGAUAGAGGUAAGCGGAACUUACGGUGGAGCGGUGAAAUGCGUUGAUGUCGUAAGGAACACCUGUGGCGAAGGCAGGUCUCUGGGCAUUAACUGACGCUGAGGAGCGAAAGCAUGGGGAGCGAACAGG